AUUUGAUGGACCAGCGUGGCGCUAAGCCAUGCGAGAAAAUCAACUGAAUUUCUCUAUUUGUAGGAACGAGAAGUCGUAACAAGGUCUUCGUAGGUGAACCUGCAGAAGGAUCA
rnacentral:rRNA from 1 species